rnacentral:rRNA from 1 species
CCUACGGGGGGCAGCAGUGGGGAAUAUUGGGCAAUGGGCGCAAGCCUGAACCAGCCAAGUAGCGUGAAGGAUGACUGCCCUAUGGGUUGUAAACUUCUUUUAUAUGGGAAUAAAGUGCAGUAUGUAUACUGCUUUGCAUGUACCUUAUGAAUAAGCAUCGGCUAACUCCGUGCCAGCAGCCGCGGUAAUACGGAGGAUCCGAGCGUUAUCCGGAUUUAUUGGGUUUAAAGGGAGCGUAGGCGGGUUGUUAAGUCAGUUGUGAAAGUUUGCGGCUCAACCGUAAAAUUGCAGUUGAUACUGGCAGCCUUGAGUACAGUAGAGGUAGGCGGAAUUCGUGGUGUAGCGGUGAAAUGCUUAGAUAUCACGAAGAACUCCGAUUGCGAAGGCAGCCUGCUGGACUGUAACUGACGCUGAGGCUCGAAAGUGUGGGUAUCAAACAGGAUUAGAUACCCUAGUAGUC